UACGUAGGGUGCGAGCGUUAAUCGGAUUUACUGGGCGUAAAGCGUGCGCAGGCGGUUUUGUAAGACAGGCGUGAAAUCCCCGGGCUCAACCUGGGAAUUGCGCUUGUGACUGCAAGGCUGGAGUGCGGCAGAGGGGGAUGGAAUUCCGCGUGUAGCAGUGAAAUGCGUAGAUAUGCGGAGGAACACCGAUGGCGAAGGCAAUCCCCUGGGCCUGUACUGACGCUCAUGCACGAAAGCGUGGGGAGCAAACAGG
rnacentral:rRNA from 1 species